AGAGAGAGACAUGCGCGCAUAUCAAUAAGCGGAGGAAAAGAAACUAACAAGGAUUCCCUUAGUAACGGCGAGUGAAGCGGGAAGAGCUCAAAUUUGAAAUCUUCAAGGUUUUACCUUGACGAAUUGUAGUUUAAAGAAGUGUUUUCUGCUGAAGUUUUGGUAAAAGUUCUUUGGAAUAGGACAUCAUAGAGGGUGAGAAUCCCGUAUUUGACCAUUAUUUUCAGCUUUGUGAUACACUUUCAAAGAGUCGGAUUGUUUGGGAAUGCAGUCCAAAAUGGGUGGUAAAUUUUCAUCUAAAGCUAAAUAUUGGCGAGAGACCGAUAGCGAACAAGUACCGUGAGGGAAAGAUGAAAAGAACUUUGAAAAGAGAGUUAAACAGUACGUGAAAUUGUCAAAAGGGAAGCGUUUGACACCAGUGUUGUUUUCCUCGAAAAUCAAUUAAAAAUGGCUCGAUUUUGUAUUGCUUGAGACCUUAAAAGCUCACUGUACAUUUUUCGUGUCUUUUUUAAUGCACUUUUCGUUUAACAAGUCAACAUCAGUUUCUUUUGUUGUAAAAGGGUCAUUGGAAGGUGGCUUUCUUUUCGGAGAAAGUGUUUAUAGCCUUUGGCCUCUGCAAUCGGAGAGACUGAGGUCUGCAGCGUAGACUCUUCGGGGUUAGAUACAUUUGUGCUAAGUUAUAGCUUUUUAUAGACAACUUGUUGACUAUAAUUAGUCUUGUAGCUUACUCGCUUAUGCUAUUUUACCUACGCUUAGGAUGUUGAGUCGUAGAGCACGCAG
rnacentral:rRNA from 1 species